UGCAACACGAGGACUUCACAAGAAAAUGGGUGAAAUAUAAGGACUUCGCAGGAGGUAACCCAUGCUAGUACUACUCUCGCCCAAGCACCCUUACCUACGGAGUUCUGAUAGAAUCCGUUGCAUUAGUGCUGGUAUUAUCGCACCUGUUUCAUUCUGCACUGCAAAUACAUACACUUUUUCUCCUUCCCUCCCCCUCGCAUCAAUUGUUUCCUUGUGCGUUCACACUGCACCUCUCCUUCUCGUUCUGAUAUCGUUUAAAAUGCCCCUGCUUCUUGACUCACAUUUGCAUAUAAACUAGCGGACCAUAGUUCCAGUCGCGCGUAACGUCGAACGACCCAUCUGAAAAAAAUUGGUGCGAUACAAGGACCUCCUAAGAGGUCACCCAUCCGAGUACUACUCUCGCCAAAGCACAAUUAACUGAAGAGUACUAAUAGGAUCCAGUGCAUUAGUGCUGGUAUGAUGCCGCUUGUUUAAUUUUGCACUAUAAAAUACAUACACUCAUUCUCUUUUCUUCCUCAUCCCGUCAUUUGUUUCCUUGUGCGUGCGCACUGCACCUUCUGUACUCGUUCUAAUAUCAAGUAAAAUGCCACAGCGCCGUGACUCACAUUUGUAAAUAAACCUGCGGACCAUAAAUCAAGUCGCGCGUAACAUCGAAAGAAUCAUCUGCAAAAAGAUGGGUGCAACACGAGGACCACCCAAGAAAAUGGGUGAAAUAUAAGGACUUCGCAGGAGGUAACCCAUGCUAGUACUACUCUUGCCCAAGCACCCUUACCUACGGAGUUCUGAUAGAAUCCGUUGCAUUAGUGAUGGUAUGAUCGCACCUGUUUCAUUUCGUGCUGAAAAUACAAACACUCCUUCUCCUUCCCUCCCCCUCCCAUCAAUUGUUUCCUUGUGCGUUCACACUGCACCUAUCCUUCUCGUUCUAAUAUCGAUUAAAAUGCCCCUGCUUCUUGACUCACAUUUGCG
rnacentral:lncRNA from 1 species